AGGAGCUUGCUCUUGUUCGGUUAGCGGCGGACGGGUGAGUAACACGUGGGCAACCUACCCGUAAGACCGGGAUAACUCCGGGAAACCGGAGCUAAUACCGGAUAACACCGAAGACCGCAUGGUCUUCGGUUGAAAGGCGGCUUCGGCUGUCACUUACGGAUGGGCCCGCGGCGCAUUAGCUAGUUGGUGAGGUAACGGCUCACCAAGGCGACGAUGCGUAGCCGGCCUGAGAGGGUGACCGGCCACACUGGGACUGAGACACGGCCCAGACUCCUACGGGAGGCAGCAGUAGGGAAUCUUCCGCAAUGGACGAAAGUCUGACGGAGCGACGCCGCGUGAGCGAAGAAGGUCUUCGGAUC
rnacentral:rRNA from 1 species